UUGGGGAGGGUCAUACCUUUUUCCCAGUCAAUUUGGAGGGUCAUAGAAAUGUAUUACUGGCAAAGGGAGGGUUAAGUCUUUUUUGACUACAGAUCCCAAAACUCCUCAGGUGGCCCCUUAAAUAAAACACGAACAGUCCCUAAUGUGAAUGAAAUUUUACCGCAAUGUAGGUUU